UUUACUGGAAAUGGUCACAACGAACUACCGUUAUAACGUACAGAUCCGUUAUGUCCCUCGAGGUACGUUGUAACGAUGUUGGACUGUAUGUCAGUGACCAAUUGUGACAGGUAGAACAAUUAAAUGCACUUCCACUAGAUGGCAGUAAGUACAAUUAACGAGUGGAUCCUCCACCUGUUGCCAUUUGUACAACAGAAGUCAUGGAUUCUUGCAUUUACAUCAGGUUUGUGUUCCGCUAAACAGGCCAGUUUUUGCACUUGCUAAUCAAAAUAUGAGUAAAUUGAGACAAGAUCAUCAGUAUUUCAAUAUGUAUUUAUAUACCGGUCUUUUUGUGACCUUUAGGUUUGGUGCUGUCAGCUCUUUUGAAUGUAAAAUAUGUGCCUUGGAAAGGUAUGCUUAUAAUUUGAUAUCCAUAAGCCCUAUCUUGUGGUUAUAUAACAGCUUUGCAUCACAUGCCAACAAUGCAUAUCAUGAACCUCAAGUAUCUCCUUACAGACACUGCGCCGAGAUUUUACACCUGUGUCGCUCUCUACAUGUAGAUACUUGCCAGGCAUAACAUAAGUGAGGGGCGUUUCCCUCCAGCAGGCGCACCUGUGCCGCGUUUCCCCAUCAAGCGUUGCUGUGUAUUUAAGGACUGUCCUGCUGCCUGGUCAUCGUCGGAUUAUUGACCGUUCUUGCUGUUGUGCGUCAAGUGUUGCAUUCUAGACCUUUCGAUACCUUUCAUAGUCACGCUUGUUUUCUCAUAGACCUUUUUGACUGGUUACAAAAAGCCAAGGAAAAACCAAAAUUUGCAGUUAUAAUUCCACGAUGCUGGUUGAGCUUGAUCCCGUGAGCCUUCAUCUUACCAGCUUCUCCCAUCCUCGUCACCUUUCUUCAUCACCAUGAGCCCUAAUACCGCAGCUUGGAAAAUUCCACACUGCAGCAAAGAGACG